UACGGAGGGUGCAAGCGUUGUCCGGAAUCACUGGGCGUAAAGGGCGCGUAGGCGGCUCAUGAAGCUGUGGUGAAAGUCCGGGCUCAACCUCGGAUCGGCCGUGGCGACUCGUGGGCUGGAGCACUGUAGAGGCGGGUGGAAUUCCGGGUGUAGCGGUGGAAUGCGUAGAGAUCCGGAAGAACACCAGUGGCGAAGGCGGCCCGCUGGGCAGUGGCUGACGCUGAGGCGCGACAGCGUGGGGAGCA
rnacentral:rRNA from 1 species